rnacentral:tRNA from 1 species
GCCUGGGUGGCUCAGUCGGUUGAGCGUCUGACUUGGGCUCAGGUCGUGAUCUCGCGGUUCGUGGGUUCGAGCCCCGCGGCAGGCC